UGGGGAAUAUCGGACAAUGGGCGCAAGCCUGAUCCAGCAACGCCGCGUGGAGGACGAAGGUCUUCGGAUCGUAAACUCCUGUCAGGCGGGACGAAGGUUGCGGGGCAAAUAGUCCUGCAGCUUGACGGUACUGCCAGAGGAAGCCCCGGCUAACUCCGUGCCAGCAGCCGCGGUAAUACGGAGGGGGCGAGCGUUAUUCGGAAUUAUUGGGCGUAAAGGGCGCGUAGGCGGCCCGGUAAGUCAAAGGUGAAAUCCCUCGGCUCAACUGAGGAACUGCCUUUGAAACUGUCGGGCUUGAGGCCGGGAGGGGGUAGCGGAAUUCCCAGUGUAGCGGUGAAAUGCGUAGAUAUUGGGAGGAACACCGGUGGCGAAGGCGGCUACCUGGACCGGUUCUGACGCUGAUGCGCGAAAGCGUGGGUAGCAAACAG
rnacentral:rRNA from 1 species